UACGUAGGGGGCAAACGUUGUCCGGAUUUAUUGGGCGUAAAGAGCGUGUAGGCGGCUAGGUAGGUCCGUUGUGAAAACUCGAGGCUCAACCUCGAGACGUCGAUGGAAACCAUCUGGCUAGAGUCCGGAAGAGGAGAGUGGAAUUCCUGGUGUAGCGGUGAAAUGCGCAGAUAUCAGGAAGAACACCCGUGGCGAAGGCGGCUCUCUGGUACGUGACUGACGCUGAGACGCGAAAGCGUGGGGAGCGAACAGG
rnacentral:rRNA from 1 species